rnacentral:rRNA from 1 species
GAUGAACGCUAGCUACAGGCUUAACACAUGCAAGUCGAGGGGCAGCAUGGUCUUAGCUUACUAAGGCCGAUGGCGACCGGCGCACGGGUGAGUAACACGUAUCCAACCUGCCGUCUACUCUUGGACAGCCUUCUGAAAGGAAGAUUAAUACAAGAUGGCAUCAUGAGUCCGCAUGUUCACAUGAUUAAAGGUAUUCCGGUAGACGAUGGGGAUGCGUUCCAUUAGAUAGUAGGCGGGGUAACGGCCCACCUAGUCUUCGAUGGAUAGGGGUUCUGAGAGGAAGGUCCCCCACAUUGGAACUGAGACACGGUCCAAACUCCUACGGGAGGCAGCAGUGAGGAAUAUUGGUCAAUGGGCGAGAGCCUGAACCAGCCAAGUAGCGUGAAGGAUGACUGCCCUAUGGGUUGUAAACUUCUUUUAUAAAGGAAUAAAGUCGGGUAUGGAUACCCGUUUGCAUGUACUUUAUGAAUAAGGAUCGGCUAACUCCGUG